rnacentral:rRNA from 1 species
UCGAGGGGCAGCAUGACCUAGCAAUAGGUUGAUGGCGACCGGCGCACCGUUGAGUAACACGUAUCCAACCUACCGGUUAUUCCGGGAUAGCCUUUCGAAAGAAAGAUUAAUACCGGAUAGUAUAACGAGAAGGCAUCUUUUUGUUAUUAAAGAAUUUCGAUAACCGAUGGGGAUGCGUUCCAUUAGUUUGUUGGCGGGGUAACGGCCCACCAAGACAUCGAUGGAUAGGGGUUCUGAGAGGAAGGUCCCCCACAUUGGAACUGAGACACGGUCCAAACUCCUACGGGAGGCAGCAGUGAGGAAUAUUGGUCAAUGGACGAGAGUCUGAACCAGCCAAGUAGCGUGAAGGAUGACUGCCCUAUGGGUUGUAAACUUCUUUUAUAUGGGAAUAAAGUGAGCCACGUGUGGCUUUUUGUAUGUACCAUACGAAUAAGGAUCGGCUAACUCCGUGCCAGCAGCCGCGGUAAUACGGAGGAUCCGAGCGUUAUCCGGAUUUAUUGGGUUUAAAGGGAGCGUAGGCGGACUAUUAAGUCAGCUGUGAAAGUUUGCGGCUCAACCGUAAAAUUGCAGUUGAUACUGGUCGUCUUGAGUGCAGUAGAGGUAGGCGGAAUUCGUGGUGUAGCGGUGAAAUGCUUAGAUAUCACGAAGAACUCCGAUUGCGAAGGCAGCUUACUGGACUGUAACUGACGCUGAUGCUCGAAAGUGUGGGUAUCAAACAGGAUUAGAUACCCUGGUAG